AAGUCGAACGGGAAUUACUUUAUUGAAACUUCGGUCGAUUUAAUUUAAUUCUAGUGGCGGACGGGUGAGUAACGCGUGGGUAACCUGCCUUAUACAGGGGGAUAACAGUCAGAAAUGGCUGCUAAUACCGCAUAAGCGCACAGAGCUGCAUGGCUCAGUGUGAAAAACUCCGGUGGUAUAAGAUGGACCCGCGUUAGAUUAGCUUGUUGGUGAGGUAACGGCCCACCAAGGCGACGAUCCAUAGCCGGCCUGAGAGGGUGAACGGCCACAUUGGGACUGAGACACGGCCCAGACUCCUACGGGAGGCAGCAGUGGGGAAUAUUGCACAAUGGGGGAAACCCUGAUGCAGCGACGCCGCGUGAAGGAAGAAGUAUUUCGGUAUGUAAACUUCUAUCAGCAGGGAAGAUAGUGACGGUACCUGACUAAGAAGCCCCGGCUAACUACGUGCCAGCAGCCGCGGUAAUACGUAGGGGGCAAGCGUUAUCCGGAUUUACUGGGUGUAAAGGGAGCGUAGACGGUGUGGCAAGUCUGAUGUGAAAGGCAUGGGCUCAACCUGUGGACUGCAUUGGAAACUGUCAUACUUGAGUGCCGGAGGGGUAAGCGGAAUUCCUAGUGUAGCGGUGAAAUGCGUAGAUAUUAGGAGGAACACCAGUGGCGAAGGCGGCUUACUGGACGGU
rnacentral:rRNA from 1 species